UUUGGAAUAUUGCACAAUGGGGGAAACCCUGAUGCAGCGACGCCGCGUGGAGGACGAAGGAUCUAGGUCUGUAAACUCCUUUUGCCAGGAAAGACUUAGGACGGUACCUGGCGAAUAAGCCCCGGCUAACUACGUGCCAGCAGCCGCGGUAAUACGUAGGGGGCAAGCGUUGUCCGGAUUUACUGGGUGUAAAGGGCGCGCAGGCGGAAUGGAAAGUCAGUGGUGAAAUCCUACAGCUUAACUGUAGAACUGCCUUUGAUACUUUCAUUCUUGAGUUCGGGAGAGAGAGACGGAAUUCCAGGUGUAGUGGUGAAAUACGUAGAUAUCUGGAAGAACACCAGUUGCGAAGGCGGUCUCUUGGUCCGAUACUGACGCUGAGGCGCGAAAGCGUGGGGAGCAAACAGGAUUAGAGACCCCGGUAG
rnacentral:rRNA from 1 species